rnacentral:rRNA from 1 species
UAACAAGGAUUCCCCUAGUAACUGCGAGUGAAGCGGGAAAAGCUCAAAUUUAAAAUCUGGCAGCUUUGGCUGUCCGAGUUGUAGUCUGGAGAAGCGUUUUCUGUGCUGGACCGUGUACAAGUCUCUUGGAAUAGAGCGUCAUAGAGGGUGAGAAUCCCGUCUUUGAUACGGACUGCCAGUGCUGUGUGAUGCGCUCUCAAAGAGUCGAGUUGUUUGGGAAUGCAGCUCAAAAUGGGUGGUAAAUUCCAUCUAAAGCUAAAUAUUGGCGAGAGACCGAUAGCGAACAAGUACCGUGAGGGAAAGAUGAAAAGCACUUUGGAAAGAGAGUUAAACAGUACGUGAAAUUGCUGAAAGGGAAACGCUUGAAGUCAGUCGCAUUGUCCAAAACUCAGCCUUGCUUUUGCUUGGUGCAUUUUUUGGUUAAUGGGCCAGCAUCAAUUUUGACCGCUGGAUAAAGGCCUUGGGAAGGUGGCACCUUCGGGUGUGUUAUAGCCCUUGGUUGCAUACAGCGGUUGGGAUUGAGGAUCUCAGCAUGCCUUUACGGUCGGGGUUCGCCCACGUUCAUGCUUAGGAUGCUGGCGUAAUGGCUUUAAACGAC